rnacentral:rRNA from 1 species
AGUGAACGCUGGCGGUAGGCCUAACACAUGCCAGUCGAACGGCAGCACAGUAAGAGCUUGCUCUUACGGGUGGCGAGUGGCGGACGGGUGAGGAAUACAUCGGAAUCUACUUUUUCGUGGGGGAUAACGUAGGGAAACUUACGCUAAUACCGCAUACGACCUACGGGUGAAAGCAGGGGAUCUUCGGACCUUGCGCGAUUGAAUGAGCCGAUGUCGGAUUAGCUAGUUGGCGGGGUAAAGGCCCACCAAGGCGACGAUCCGUAGCUGGUCUGAGAGAAUGAUCAGCCGCACUGGAAGUGAGACACGGUCCAGGCGCCUACGGGAGGCAGCAGUGGGGAAUAUUGGACAAUGGGCGCAAGCCUGAUCCAGCCAUACCGCGUGGGUGAAGAAGGCCUUCGGGUUGUAAAGCCCUUUUGUUGGGAAAGAAAAGCAGCAGGUUAAUACCCCGCUGUUCUGACGGUACCCAAAGAAUAAGCACCGGCUAACUUCGUG